ACCAGGAAUGAAGUUGGUGAUUCCUUAUAAAGGACUACAUCAUUGUAGUAAAAUGAGGAAAAUCUGUUGGGGGUGUGAGAGUUUGGGGAGAGAAUCCCAGCCU